GAUUGCGGGCCACCACUUCAUUUACAUGGGAUGAGCACCAAUGCGUUUUGUUCAAUUCUUUGUUCAAAACCCCAAGAAUGUGGACACUUGCAGUCAAGACCCUCUACCGGUUUGGUGAGCCAGUCUUUCAGCGGCUGUUUUCCAGUAGCUCCUUGGCAAUUGAGGGGAACUGGUCGAGGCCACUCUCUGGUGUUGUCUGAAGGCCAAGGAGUGAACAGGGAUGGCUGCCCUGCCUUGAAGAGGGAAGGUCUCUUUUCUAUCCUUUCCAGCUAUAGUCCCUGAUCCCUACAUGUGAUGCAGUUGGCAGCGGAAGCUCAUCCUGGGCGAACUCACACACAUUUCAGGCUACUUAAACCUUUUCUUAUGCUAAAUUCUUCCCUUCUCCUACUCAUCUGGCUAAAGGACAGACUAUGCAAAAAAGGUUAUACAAGUCAGAGGGUCUGGGCAUGUCGGAGGUGGUCUGUGUGGGGCAUGGGGCGGGGGGGAAAUUCAUGAAAGGCAAUUUAUUGCCUAAAUUUAAAGGGUUAAAGGAUUGCUUUAAGUGGGAUAGAAAAACCUUAAGGAAAAUUCAUAGUAGGUCCUCAGUGGUGGAGUGUUGCGGGAAGUCAGGGACCCUGAAUGAAGGGACCAGCUGAAGCCAUGGCAGAAGAAAAUAAAUUGUGAAGAUUUCAUGUACAUUUAUUAGUUCCCCAAAUUAAUACUUUUAUAAUUUCUUACGCCUGUCUUUACUGCAAUCUCUGAACAUAAAUUGUGAAGAUUUUAUGGACAUUUAUCACUUCCCCAAUCAAUACUCUUGUGAUUUCCUAUGCCUGUCUUUAAUCUGUUAAUCCCGUCAUCUUCAUAAACCGAGGAGGAUGUAUGUCGCCUCAGGACCCUGUGAUGAUUGUGUUAACUGCACAGAUUGUUUGUAGAGCAUGUGCGUAUGAACAAUAUCAAAUCUGGGCACCUUAAGAACAGGAUAACAGCAAUGUUCAAGGAACAAGGGAGAUAACCUUAAAGUCUGGCUGCCUGUGGGCCAGGCAGAACAGAGCCAUAUUUCUCUUCUUUCAAAAGCAAAUAGGAGAAAUAUCACUGAAUUCUUUUUCUCAGCAAGGAACAGUCCUGAGAAAGAGAAUGCGUGCCUAGGGGUAGUCCUCUAAAAUGGCUGCUCUGGGGACAGCUGUCUUUUACGGUCGUAGAUAAGGGAUGAAAUAAGCCCCGGACUCCCAGAGCGCUCCCAGGCUUAUUAGGACGAGGAAAUUCCCGCCUAAUAAAUUUUGGUCAGACUGAUUGUCUGCUCUCAAACCCUGUCUCCUGAUAAGAUGUUAUCAAUGAUAAUGCAUGCCCAAAACUUCAUUAGCAAUUUUAAUUUCGCCCUGGUCGUGUGAUCCUGUGAUCUCGCCCUGCCUCCAUUUGCCUUGUGAUAUUUUAUUACCUUGUGAAGCAUGUGAGCUCUGUGACCCACACCCUAUUCAUAUACUCCCUCCCCUUUUGAAAAUCACUAAUAAAAACUUGCUGGUUUUACGGCUCGGGGGCAUCACGGAACCUGCUGACAUGUGAUGUCUCCCCCGGACACCCAGCUUUAAAAUUUCUCUCUUUGUACUCUUUCCGUUUAUUUCUCAGACCGGCCGACACUUAGGGAAAAUAGAAAAGGACCCACGUGAAAUACCAGGGGCUGAAUUCCCCUGAUAGUGGAGGGAACCAUCCCAAAGCAGUGCCAGCCCCCAUCUAAGGUCAGAGACAUCUGACAGACCAAAUCAGGGCCCUAAAGUAGGGACGCCCCUGGGGACCCCAGUCUGGGUUCAGAAUUUUUUCAGGGGGUUGCCCUGGGUAAAGUUUGGGUCACCUAAUGGGCCCUCUACUUUUCAAAGUCCUCUUCUCUAUUCCAGACCACUAUGGGCAACUCUCUAUCUAUUCGAUCUAUUUGACCUGAUUCCACUAUGGGCAAUUCUACACCACUUCCACCGGAUUCCUCACUUGGCUACAUCAUCCACCAAUGGAAUCAAUUUGACCCUGACAUUCUAAAGGGAAAACGUAUAAUUUUUUUCUGAAAUACUGUUUGGCCCCAUUAUGAGCUGCCCAGCCCCCAGCAAUGGGCAGUCAGUGGUAGCCUUAAUUAUGACACCAUCCUGCAAUUAGACCUACUUUGCAAGAGGCUGGGAAGAUGGUCAGAAGUCCCAUAUGUACAGGCCUUGGUGUGUGAUGUUCCCCUCCCUGUGUCCAUGUGUUCUCAUUGUUCACCUCCCACUUAUUAGUGAGAACAUGUGGUGUUUGGUUUUCUGUUCCUGUGUUAGUUUGCUGAGAAUGAUGGUUUCCAGCUUCAUCCAUCUCCCUGCAAAGGACAUGAACUCAUUAUUUUUUAUGGUUGCAUAGUAUUCCAUGGUGUAUAUGUGCCAUAUUUUCUUUAUCCCGUCUAUCACUGAUGGGCAUUUGGGUUGGUUCUAAGUCUUUGCCACGGUAAAGAGUGCUGCAAUAAACAUACCUGUGCAUGUAUCUUUAUAGUAGAAUGAUUUAUAAUCCUUUGGAUAUAUAUCCAGUAAUGGGAUUGCUGGGUCAAAUGGUAUUUCUGGUUCUAGAUCCUUGAGGAAUCACCACACUGUCUUCCACAAUGGUUGAACUAAUUUACACUCCCACCAACAGUGUAAAAGUGUUCCUACUUCUCCACAGCCUCACCAGCCUGUUUCCUGACUUUUUAAUGAUUGCCAUUCUAACUGGUGUGAGAUGGUAUCUCAUUGUGAUUUUGAUUCGCAUUUCUCUAACAACCAGUGAUGAGCAUUUUUUCGUAUGUUUGUUGGCUGCAUAAAUGUCUUCUUUUGAG
rnacentral:lncRNA from 1 species